UAUCACGGACGCUGCCCCAACCCAAAUCCCGCUACCCCCAUUCUUAGAAACCAUAGACCCUCAUUUCCAUCAGAGACGAAAAAACAGACCCCCCAUUUCUACAAAAAAACCCUAGCGCCGUUUCACCUCUUUCUUCUUCCUCGACCUCUCACUCAGCUCCCAUGGAAUGACAAGCUCACAUCCACACUCUCCUCUCUCACAUACAUACAAGAGAUUAAAAAAAAAAAAUAGAAGAAAAAGCUUUUUGAUUUCGGUCGUGCUUAAUUUGAAGAAUUUAUGGGAUUCUCAGUUGUUUCUGGAUUAAAGUGUAGUCCGACGCUGCUGUUUUGCUAUCAAAAUCGUAGCUGGACUUCCUUCAUCUUCUUUUCUGCUUGUUAUCGGUUGUUUCAAGCUCCAUUUGGUCGAGUAUUUUAGGUUUAGUCGCUUCUAGCGAUCAACAACACAACUGGUACGCAAUUGACCGCUCAUUCUGGCUUGCCGUGCAUCUCUUCUUCUACUUAAUUUUUCACAAAGAUGAUUAUACGCGAUCAUAAAUAAUGGUUGCAUCCUCAUUUUUUGUUUUGCUUUUCGGGCUGGUAAGCUCAUGCUCAUGAUUGGAUUGAUUGUUGUCUGUGUGUCUCCUGAAGGAUUUUCAAUAGCAAAUAACUUGUGAUCUCAAGUUGAAGAUAUCUGGGAUGGAGUAAGAUGAAUUGGAAUCAACUAUUCAACUAUGAAGGUUUAUUUAGCUUUAGCUUGAGUAUAUGUAUAACACAUUUUGGUUGUAUUACUGGAAUUAGGUGAUAUUCGAGUUGUUUAUAUACAUGAGUAUGGUUCAUGUACAGAAGUUUUAUGACAUUUAAGCGAGUCAUAAUCUUUUUCUUAUUUUCCAAGAUCAGAA